rnacentral:rRNA from 1 species
ACGGAAGGCAGCAGUAGGGAAUAUUGCACAAUGGGGGAAACCCUGAUGCAGCAACGCCACGUGUGGGAAGAAGCAUUUCGGUGUGUAAACCACUGUCGUGAGGGAAUAAUGCUUGGUCUCGGCCAAGUUGAAUGUACCUCGAAAGGAAGCACCGGCAAACUUCGUGCCAGCAGCCGCGGUAAUACGAGGGGUGCAAGCGUUGUUCGGAAUCACUGGGCGUAAAGGGAGCGCAGGCGGAGAUGCAAGCAGUCUGUACAAUACCGGGGCCCAACCCCGGACCUGCAGACUGGACUGUUCCUCUUGGAUAGUUCAGGGGCAAGCGGAAUUCCUGGUGUAGCGGUGGAAUGCGUAGAGAUCAGGAAGAACACCGAUGGCGAAGGCAGCUUGCUGGGGACUUAUCGACGCUCAUGCUCGAAAGUGCAGGUAGCAAACAGGAUUAGAUACCCUGGUA